UAGUUAGAAUCAAAUCAAUAACUAGGUGGAAAAAAAUGAACAGAGUGCAUUAAAGAGCAGAGCAUUUUUCAAAUUGAAAUUUGGGAUACCUACUCCUCCAAAGAGAUGAGUUACAAAUUUAAAAUGAUAGAGAGAGUCACUGAGCAGAGUUUUUAUUUUCCUGUUCAAUUUUGUCCUUUUCCUCCUCAUUUUUUUCUUUUUCCAUUUUCUUUUUCUUAAGGAAAUUGAGGACUUCCCCAAGAGCAACAUCGGCAUCAUCACUCUUCAAUAGUUCUUCAGCCAGAGAAGCAGGGGUAACCUCUGUACUCUGGAUCAAUCCAUCAAUUUCUUCAAAGAGAUGGUGUUCUUCAAUCCCAAGAUAGUUAGAGACCAAUACUCUGAAUCCUUGAGUGCUGCAAUAUGACAUGUGAAUGUGCAUAUCCAUCCUCCCAGGACGAAGCAAUGCAGGGUCCAAAACUUCUUUGCGAUUGGUAGUGAACACAAUUAUUCUCUCCUCUCCACAGCUCGACCACAAUCCAUCAAUGCAGUUUAGCAGACCCGAGAGCGAGAAUGGCUUGACAAGAUUGCAAUCAUCAUCAGAAUCGUCCGAUGAUACAGAUCGUUUGUGGACUCCGGCGCUGCAAUCUAUAUCCUCAAUCACUGUUAUAGACUUCCUGUCAAUAUCAAGCAUGGCUUUCCUCAGAUCAGCAUCAGAAAUAAUAUUUGCAAGCUCCAAAUCAUACACAUCAAAUUUCAAGUAAUUUGCCAUGGCUGCAAUUAGGCUUGAUUUCCCAGUUCCAGGAGGACCAUACAGUAGAUAUCCACGCUUCCAGGCCUUGCCAAUUCUCUUGUAGAAUUCCUUCCUGCCCAAGAACCUGUCCAAAUCAUCAAUAAUAGAUUUCUUCAACUGGUAAUCCAUGGCGAGUGCAUCGAAAGUGGAUGGAUGUCGAAAAUCAAUAGAAUUCCAGCAACCGCGAGACCUUGUGUAGAGCUUCAAAACCUUCUCCCCUUGGGUUAAGGCCUUGGAAGUAUCUAGAAUAUGAUUCAAGUAGUCAUGAAAAACCUUUUCCCUGUAUUGAUCUUCAAAUGUUAUCUCAAAAUGACCCUUGUUGAAAAACCUGUCAUUCUUGGCUCGAUCAUCAUUUUCUUGCUUGGCAAACUGCCAUGUGAUCUCUAUCCCUUCAAACACGUCAACAAUCUUCUCACCUUCUACCAUGGCAGCUGUAACAUUCUUUUGCCCUCUAAACUUGCCAACUCUGAUUACUUUGUUCUUGGGACCAAUCUUGGAGGAUAAGUAAAAUCUGGAAGCAUCUAUGAGCUUGUUACGGUCAAGGCCAUCCCAUGAAUCAUCGAUGAUGAAGGUAUUAAAAGACUUGGACAACUUUCUACGAGAGAAAAAGCUCAAGAUUUUGGAGACCACAAAGGUCUCAAUCUUCUUGGGUACCAGUUCAUGGUAGACAUUCCGUAGAAGCAUCAAGGAUGUGGAGAAGGAGGCAUAAAAGGACAGCAAAUAAGAUGUUGAAGGGAACAUCCUUGUAUUUUCUACAAAAGCAUAGGCCAUGUCGAUGAUUUUAGUAGGAUUUGGUCUAGACCCUAGUUCUUGGACAAGAAGAAGCAAGAACUAGAGCUACUUGUCAAAUGAAACUCUCUCAGUGUGAAUGGAAUUUGUUUAUUCACUACGGAAUGAAAUUUCGAAAAGAAAA
rnacentral:misc_RNA from 1 species